rnacentral:misc_RNA from 1 species
AAGUCGUAACAAGGUUUCCGUAGGUGAACCUGCGGAAGGAUCAUUACUUAUCAUUGUAUAACUAGUUAAUAGUAUAUUAUACUGUUCACUGUUCUACAAUCAUAUUAACUACCAACUGUGCUCUUUUUUCUAUCAUCACAUUCAAUUAAACAUUUUUAUUUAUUAACUGAUCACAUUGUGUUUUAGUUGAUAACAGUUUUAUUACUGUUAACAAUCUACUCACAUCUGUAUUAGUUCUAGUACAGUGAUUAUAUGAUUUUAUUGUAUAUUCUCUUGUAUGAAACUAAAUACUUUUGUAACAUAUAUCUUAACACAGUAUAUUUUGCUCAAUGAUUUCAUUGCAGUGACUUUACUAAUGUUUUGAUGUAAAUAACAACUCCGAACAAUGGAUAUCUCGGCUCUC